UACGGAAGGCAGCAGUGGGGAAUAUUGCACAAUGGGCGCAAGCCUGAUGCAGCCAUGCCGCGUGUAUGAAGAAGGCCUUCGGGUUGUAAAGUACUUUCAGCGGGGAGGAAGGCGAUGCGGUUAAUAACCGCGUCGAUUGACGUUACCCGCAGAAGAAGCACCGGCUAACUCCGUGCCAGCAGCCGCGGUAAUACGGAGGGUGCAAGCGUUAAUCGGAAUUACUGGGCGUAAAGCGCACGCAGGCGGUCUGUUAAGUCAGAUGUGAAAUCCCCGGGCUUAACCUGGGAACUGCAUUUUGAACUGGCAGGCUUGAGUCUUGUAGAGGGGGUAGAAUUCCAGGUGUAGCGGUGAAAUGCGUAGAGAUCUGGAGGAAUACCGGUGGCGAAGGCGGCCCCUGGGACAAAGACUGACGCUCAGGUGCGAAAGCGUGGGGAGCAAACAGGGAUUAGGAUACC
rnacentral:rRNA from 1 species